ensembl:lncRNA
CGGAAUACCACCAGCUGCCAGGGAGAACGAGCUUGGAGCUAGCGGCAGGGCUUAACCCGGCGAAGCUCUGAGAUGGGUUGCUGAAGGAUUCCGGGAGGCAGCUGCAACAGGGCAUCACUCACUGUCCAGGCAUAUCCGUUUCUGAGUGCAAAAGGAAGAACUUGAGCGAGCGGCAAUUGGAGUGAAAAUUGCUUUGUAGUAUCUAAAAGCAGCAUGGAUCGUGGGCAGCUGAGCUGCAACAAAUCAACAGAAAUUCAUGUGAAAAUCAUUGACCACCAUAUGCUGCUCCAGCUUCCUUCAGCUCCUAAUUCUAGGAGCUUGACAACUAAAGCAAACCACAGACAGCCACAGGCACUCACUGCCAGCCCUGACAAAAAAAAUCACAAAAGUCACCUCACAGGGAUUUUAUGGCUUUGGAUUGAACCACGAAGUAUUGGAUAUAUUUCAUACAAAAGCACUAUGGAAUGCAACUCAGUACAAGCAAGUCAUUCACAGUUUCAGAUGAUGGUGAUGAUGAUGAUGAUGAUUUUGGUCCUAGUUCCAUUAAAGGCCAAGACAUCUCCAGAUGACUACAGAAAUACUACCUUAAUAAUAAGAAAAAACUUGUUUCAUUAAGAGACUUCUUGUAGAUUUCCCACUGAGUUUUGUUUAUGUAUCCUAUGCUGCUGCUGCUGAUGAUGCUAAGUCGCUUCAGUCGUGUCCGACUCUGUGCAACCCCAUAGAUGGCAGCCCACCAGGCUCCCCCAUUCCUGGGAUUCUCCACGCAAGAAUACUGGAGUGGGUUGCCAUUUCCUUCUCCAAUGCAUGGAAGUGAAAAGUGAAAGUGAAGUCUCUCAGUUGUGUCCGACUCUUCGCGACGCCAUGGACUGCAGCCCACCAGGCUUCUCCGUCCAUGGGAUUUUCCAGGCAAGAGUACUGGAGGGGGUUUCCACUGCCUUCUCCCAGGUCCUAUCAAAUUCAGAGUCUAUUUUCUCUUGGCAAAAGCAAGAAAAAUAAAUCAUAAUAGAGACAAAGGUAAGGAAUAUGU